UACGAAGGGGGCUAGCGUUGCUCGGAAUUACUGGGCGUAAAGGGCGCGUAGGCGGAUAGUUUAGUCAGAGGUGAAAGCCCAGGGCUCAACCCUGGAAUUGCCUUUGAUACUGGCUAUCUUGAGUUCGGGAGAGGUGAGUGGAACUCCGAGUGUAGAGGUGAAAUUCGUAGAUAUUCGGAAGAACACCAGUGGCGAAGGCGGCUCACUGGCCCGGAACUGACGCUGAAAUACGAAAGCGUGGGGAGCAAACAGG
rnacentral:rRNA from 1 species